UACGUAGGGUGCAAGCGUUGUCCGGAAUUAUUGGGCGUAAAGAGCUCGUAGGCGGCUUGUCGCGUCGAAUGUGAAAACUCGGGGCUCAACUCCGAGCUUGCAUUCGAUACGGGCAGGCUAGAGUUCGGUAGGGGAGACUGGAAUUCCUGGUGUAGCGGUGAAAUGCGCAGAUAUCAGGAGGAACACCGGUGGCGAAGGCGGGUCUCUGGGCCGAUACUGACGCUGAGGAGCGAAAGCGUGGGGAGCGAACAGG
rnacentral:rRNA from 1 species